rnacentral:rRNA from 1 species
UACGUAGGGACCAAGCGUUGUUCGGAUUUACUGGGCGUAAAGGGCGCGUAGGCGGCGUGGUAAGUCACUUGUGAAAUCUCCGAGCUUAACUCGGAACGGUCAAGUGAUACUGCUGUGCUAGAGUGCAGAAGGGGCAAUCGGAAGUUCUUGGUGUAGCGGUGAAAUGCGUAGAUAUCAAGAGGAACACCUGAGGUGAAGACGGGUUGCUGGGCUGACACUGACGCUGGAGGCGCGAAAGCUAGGGUAGCAAACGGG